UCAAUGGAGUUUUUAAACUCCACAAGUAGAGUCAAAGGUUAUAAA
rfam:Gossypium arboreum cultivar AKA8401 contig_20391_5, whole genome shotgun sequence.